ACUAUUUUGGCAGAUUAGUGCGGUAAAUUUAGGAUUUAUUUAUGUAGAUUAUUCUACAAAUAGUA
rnacentral:tRNA from 1 species